rnacentral:rRNA from 1 species
GCAGUCGACGGCAGCACGGACUUCGGUCUGGUGGCGAGUGGCGAACGGGUGAGUAAUAUAUCGGAACGUGCCCAGUCGUGGGGGAUAACGUAGUGAAAAUUACGCUAAUACCGCAUACGAUCUAAGGAUGAAAGCGGGGGAUCGCAAGACCUCGCGCGAUUGGAGCGGCCGAUAUCAGAUUAGGUAGUUGGUGAGGUAAAGGCUCACCAAGCCGACGAUCUGUAGCUGGUCUGAGAGGACGACCAGCCACACUGGAACUGAGACACGGUCCAGACUCCUACGGGAGGCAGCAGUGGGGAAUUUUGGACAAUGGACGCAAGUCUGAUCCAGCCAUUCCGCGUGCAGGACGAAGGCCUUCGGGUUGUAAACUGCUUUUGUACAGAACGAAAAGGUCUCUAUUAAUACUGGGGGCUCAAGACGGUACUGUAAGAAUAAGCACCGGCUAACUACGUGCCAGCAGCCGCGGUAAUACGUAGGGUGCAAGCGUUAAUCGGAAUUACUGGGCGUAAAGCGUGCGCAGGCGGUUAUAUAAGACAGAUGUGAAAUCCCCGGGCUCAACCUGGGAACUGCAUUUGUGACUGUAUAGCUGGAGUGCGGCAGAGGGGGAUGGAAUUCCGCGUGUAGCAGUGAAAUGCGUAGAUAUGCGGAGGAACACCGAUGGCGAAGGCAAUCCCCUGGGCCUGCACUGACGCUCAUGCACGAAAGCGUGGGGAGCAAACAGGAUUAGAUACCCUGGUAGUCCACGCCC